rnacentral:rRNA from 1 species
UACGGAGGGAGCUAGCGUUGUUCGGAAUUACUGGGCGUAAAGCGCGCGUAGGCGGCUUUGUAAGUUAGAGGGGAAAGCCCGGGGCUCAACCCCGGAAUUGCCUUUAAGACUGCAUCGCUUGAAUCCGGGAGAGGUGAGUGGAAUUCCGAGUGUAGAGGUGAAAUUCGUAGAUAUUCGGAAGAACACCAGUGGCGAAGGCGGCUCACUGGACCGGCAUUGACGCUGAGGUGCGAAAGCGUGGGGAGCAAACAGG